CCCCCCGCUGCCACUUCCGCUGGGGUCGGGGCCGAGUGGAGGCGGCGCGCGCAGUGGAUUGUGGGUGGCGAGCGGCUGGUUUGGAUUCCCGCUCACGGCCACCGACAGUGGCGAGCGGAAGCUUCUGAAGCGGCGGCUCGCUGGGCCUCCUCUACGUCGACUCAGCCUGAAGGCGGGUGUCUCAGAUUGCCAGCACCAUGUGAUGGGAGCUCCAGGGCAUGCUGCGUGCUCGCCAGGAGGGGCUGGGCAAGAUGGCGUAGUCGCUGGAGCAGCUGCGGGCGCGGCACCGCCGCUCUCACCCUGGCGGAGUGCAGCAACACAGUGGGGCGGCACCAGCGGGACACUCUUGACAACGCAGCCAAGGCUGUUGCCCCGCUCGCCCGACUCGUUGAGAGGCUUGCCCACCCCCCAGGGCGUUGUCGUGAAGAUACCGCUGGGAGGAAGAAUAUCUCACAAUACUGGAAGAGGGGAGUGAGGGCAGAGGCAGGGAGACCAAAACGAAGGGAAUCGCAGUCAUUCUGACGGGUAAAGAUCACAGAACGAGCCGGGGCUGUUGCGGCAGAAACUGAAAUGAGAUGGCGGAUUCCCCUGAUGUUGAACCCUACCAGCAAGACGACGAGAACCGGAGUGGUUUCACCGUCACCAUCGCAACCACCUUCUUCAGAUCCCACAAACACUGCACAAUGUAGAACAGUUCGCGGUCGUUCUGAUAUGUGAGGCUUCAGGAUAGGUGACAGACCCCAUUGGACUCCCGAGAGCGAGGAGACCUUGCUCCGGCAACACACAUUGGGUGACCCGCAGAUGGUGACGUCUCUUUCUUGCAGAGUCACUGGACUCGGCCUGCCGUGUGUGGACAGCGCCACGGUGGCGAGAUGUUAACUACCUCGCCUGGUAUACAGGAGGGCUUGGGUUCGAUCCUCACCCUGACGUUUGUUGUAUAGUUGGAGUGUGAAUGUCUCUCUCUCUCCCCGUGGUCUUGUGGAUUGUCCUCCGGGAUUCACUCCACAUUUAGAAUCAACUUUCAAGCGUUUAGAUUAUUUAUAUUACUUUGCUAUUAUAAAUUUCCACGUGAUAAGCCGCUUCGUUGAGCUAAAAUUUGUGGCCGGGUCGCUUCUUAAAAAGAAUAUAUAUAGUUCAGUGGGCCUUAUCUGGAAAAUAAAAACACACGUUUAGUUUUAUUUGUAUAUUUAUGUUUAAAUAUAUUUUUUUCCUCUUUCCUAUCUUUUCCACUCCUUUCGUGUUUUUGUAUUGUUUGUUGUAACGUUCUGACCCCGUGUCCCUACUGUACACCUGUGAAAAAGAGCUUUAUAGCUCAUCGGAUUCCUCCGGUAUGAAUAAAGGUUCUGAUUCUGACCCUUGAGGUUUGCAGGACGGCUACUGGUGCCUCAUCCCCAUAUCUUCGACAGUGGCAGGCUGGAGGCGCUGAUGAUAAGUGGUGAAUGUUAAGGCUCUAAAAUGCAGUAACACGUUUCAUUUGCUUCUGUGGAGCCAGUAGUUGUAUCAUCAGCUGCGUCUAGGGAUACUUUUACAUCGUUAAUAGGCACGUUAAAUCGUGCGAUCGUCCGAAGAUGAAAACUUGGGCAACAAUCUUAAACUCGAGUCAAGAAGAACUGCUUGAAGCAAGAUGUAAAUCAGGUCGCACAAUCCGAGAACAUUUAACGGUAACGACACUGUCUGAUCCCAAACUAUUUAUUGCACAAACGUGACGAUUGGAUCUUAAUAAUCAUACGACUAUCAGCCUCGGUUCGUGCAUCUACAAAAUAUUCAUCAACAUUAUCCACUAAAAAUGUGAUACAUUAGACAACAACAAACCGACGAAGAAAACAGAAUUCAUGAAAUCAUUAUCAACAUCAGGCCACCU